rnacentral:rRNA from 1 species
UACAGAGGUCCCGAGCGUUGUUCGGAUUCACUGGGCGUAAAGGGUGCGUAGGUGGUGAGGAAAGUCGGAUGUGAAAUCUCCGGGCUUAACCCGGAAAUGGCAUUGGAAACUACCUUGCUAGAGGUUUUGAGGGGGGACCGGAAUUCUCGGUGUAGCAGUGAAAUGCGUAGAUAUCGAGAGGAACACCGGUGGCGAAGGCGAGUCCCUGGAAAACACCUGACACUGAGGCACGAAAGCUAGGGGAGCAAACAGG